GACGAACGCUGGCGGCGUGCUUAACACAUGCAAGUCGAACGGAAAGGCCCUGCUUUUGUGGGGUGCUCGAGUGGCGAACGGGUGAGUAACACGUGAGUAACCUGCCCUUGACUUUGGGAUAACUUCAGGAAACUGGGGCUAAUACCGGAUAGGAGCUCCUGCUGCAUGGUGGGGGUUGGAAAGUUUCGGCGGUUGGGGAUGGACUCGCGGCUUAUCAGCUUGUUGGUGGGGUAGUGGCUUACCAAGGCUUUGACGGGUAGCCGGCCUGAGAGGGGGACCGGCCAACAUGGGGACAGAGAACGGCCCCGGCCUCCGAGGGGGGGAGGAGGGGGGAAAUAUGGAAAAGGGGGGGGAGGCCUGAGGCGGCAACCCGGGGGGGGGAAUGAGGGCUUUGGGGUUGAAACCCGUUUCCGCCGGGGAAAAGGGGGGAGUGAGGGAAAUGGAUAAAGAAGCACCGGCAAACUACGUG
rnacentral:rRNA from 1 species